GUGUUUGAUUCAGCACCAAUCUUUCAUCACAAAAGGAUGGCAUUUCAUCACGUUGCUUCUUUUCCCAAGCUUCAUUCUUGUCUUGCUGGCUCAUUACACUACUUUUCUUGCUACUUCAUCCCCAUCUCUUCAAGUGUUGUCUCUUGUGCUACAAGUCUCGCGGCUAACUCCUCUUGAUGCCUAUAAAGGAACAUCAUUGCAUAAUCAUUGGAUAAAAAAAGACGAGACAUGAUCAUUAGAUGAAAACAGAUAAGACAAAAAAGUAUAAGGGUUUUGCUAAGAAGUUUAUAGUAUAUCAAAUUUUGAAUCUGAAAUGAGAAGUACAUUAUUAAAUGUCUAGGAAAGCAUGUGGAUGAGCAAAUGAAACGGUGAACUCAACAAUAAGUUCUAAUAGUCAAAUAACAUGCAUAACCAAGAGCUAGAUUUCAUUUAUCAAUCUUGAAAAGCAGCAAAGCUUCACCAACAAGACAACAAGUCAGUAACGCAAUUGUGUUUUCAAUUCACUAUCAUGAGUGCACCGUGCACAUAAAACCGAAAAAUAAGAAAAAGCAAGAACACAAAGAAAAAAUACCAUAGCUACUUGUCAUUUGCAUCCCUCUCUAUCCUUUUGUUCAAUUCUUUCUUCUAGAUCUCGGAUCCGUGCUGAUGAAGCAGAUCUCUUGGAUUUGUGUUUUUGGCAUGGCUGAACCUUCAAGUACAUGGAUCAAACAAGUCAAACAAAAGGAAGGUAGUGAAUCAACAUUGACUUAUACAAGUCAGCACUAAUUCCAAUAAGAAGGCAGUGAACAGAGAAAGCAUGAUCUAGAUUAAUUAGUAUGAGAGUAAAAGAGUGGAGGACAAAAAAUGUGAAUCAAUCUGCAGGUGAUUAGUCAAUUAUUUAUUAUACUUAAAGUGCACACUGACAUACACAUGAUAUGAGCAAGAUGGAAUUAAAGCGAGUGAAUCUACAUUGAUGUACGUAUUAUUUAAGAUUUAGGCUAGCACGAUAUAUGAUGUGAUGAUGCUUCCAACAAGUUAUUAUGAAGGUUCGAUGUGAAGAAGUUUCCAACAAGUUACUAUGAAGGUUUGGUGUCUAAUAAAUGUGUACAUAAGUUGUCAUGUUCAUUCAAACGUGUGAUCAUGAGGAAACCUUGCUUAAGAAUUUACACUAUAUAUAUGGAAAGUAAAGAUCAUACUAGUUGUCGCUAAGCCCGAAGGAAAACUAAGUAAUGGACCAAACUUUGCUUCUCAAUUUUUUCUGCUUAACUUCUGAUUCAUCGCUGUUAUUUUUGUACUUUUAAGUCUGCUUACCCAGAUAUAGCAAAUGAUAGUACUAAAAAUAUCGCAGGAAAUUUUCUAUAACUUCAAUGUUGUAAGCAUACUGUAAUUGAGACUCGAAAUAGCUAAAAAAAGGUUAAACCGUAAUCUGCUCUAAUUAGAAAAUCGAGUACAGCAUCAGUGUUUUGGUCGUAGUUUGCAAACCGUAAAUCCGAACAGAACGAAAUUGAUACUGUUGUAAAGCUUACGAGCAACCUCACAACUUCUGCAAUUGGCUUAGUUUCAGAUUAAUUACGGUUCAGAUCCAGUUUUACAACUAAGCUCACUCAGGUUGAUGUCAUCUGUCAAUCUUUUGCAGUUAAGAACUAAUAAGAAUCAGCCCAUGGGAAUUGAACAGCGAUGAGCUCAUCUAACCUGUUUAGUUCCGAGACUCCUUUCUUUCUCCCCUGUUUUUCUUAUUUUUUUGCUUGGUCAUUGGUUCAGCCAAUGCUGCAAGUACACUGUACUUGUGCUCUGACUUGUGUCCCUGUAUCCAGUAGUGUCUCUCUCCUUGCAAUUACUAUUACACUGUUGAAAAGAGAGCAAUAAAAGAGCAAGGAGUUCACGCUAUCAAAUUAAAUGGUAGAAGGAGAAGAUUGAACCGUACUAGCGUCAAGAACAUUCACACAUAUUCAAGGCUGCCAGUAUAAAAAAACAUUCAGAAAUAUCAGAUGGCACCAAAAGGUAAUUCAUGCACAUUCAAAUUACAAGAAAGGUUGUUUCUGGCUCGUCUGCUUAGCUAGCCAGGCAGAGCACAGUUAACUUUAGAUUUUGGGUCAUCCGCUAACUUUUACACAUGAGAUUAAUAUAAUUCAAAAAAAUGAAGGUCAACUCAUUGAAUAAUUUCUGAAGUUGCCACUUUGAAACGUACAGAAGAAUAUGGCCUGAAUCGGACAACAUAUAUUGUAGUAAUAUAAAGAGCAUCCAUGGAAAAGAAAACAUCCACAAUUCAGUUAAACAAUAGAUCCUUAUCAGGCCGUAGCAAACCUUAUUUUUGACAAAAUUCAGUAAAAGCUUGAUCAUUAUCUGACUAUGAAAAAAUCGUAAUACCAUUAGCUGACACACACAUGGAUCAAAUGGGGUAGGAGGAAUAGACCUGUGGGGAAAGCUACGCCGGCGAGUACGCUGGUGGGAUUAGGCGGGAUGAUCAAUGUGAUGGGUCGACGCAGUAGGCUCCGGCCAGGGCGAGCCUGGAUGAGGAUAUGCUGUCACCUGUCGAGGCUGGCUGCUCCGAUGUUGGCCG
rnacentral:lncRNA from 1 species